AGACCUUAUGAAGGCGGAGACGACGAGGCGCCCAGGCUUUGAGAUGUGUCCUGCCCAGACUCAAUUAACCUUCUGUACCGAGUCUCUCUGGCGACCAACGCAUGCAUGAGAACACCGCUGAUCUAGAUGGACGACCCCGACUGACCUACUGGAGUUAUUCUCUGAGACAUAACUGUUAACUUAGAAACAAUGUCUGUCUCUACUGUAUUGGCAAAGGCCCUGUUCGACAACACGGCAGAGAGCCCGGAGGAGCUGGCUUUCCGGAAGGGUGACAUACUGAUGGUUCUUGAACAGGAACAGGGUGGCGGGCCAGGGUGGUGGCUCUGCUCCCUGCAUGGCAGACAGGGCAUUGUCCCUGCCAACCGCCUUCGACUCCUUCAGACUGCCCCACCCCCAGGCUCAGACCCCCGUCGGGGUCCCGUUGAGGACUCUGUCUACUUGUCGCCGGUUCCUCCACUGGCCCGGACUGCUGUCGGCAGUAGCGCAGAAGACAUAGAUGGAGUGUAUCGCUCCCCGCCAGGCGUGGGUGAGGGACGAGGAGCUGCCUCAAGGCCCGGGGAGCUACGGAGAGUCGAGUGUGGGCGCCCACGCUCACACUCCAGCUCUGGCACUCGGCCUAGACCUGACUGGGAUUUAGGAGUGGCAGGGCGUCCACGCUCACCCUCUCUGAGAGGACGAAGCACAGAAAUGACAGGAACACUUUAUCAGACUCCAGUAAGUCCCAUGCCCUUAGCAGCUCAGCAUACCAGACAGCCAGGGGCUCUCAUGACUUCAGAGUCAGUGUACCUCGCCCCCACCGGAGUUCCAAGGGCAGCUGAUGAACCAGAGGACACUACAUAUCUAGUCCCUAGAGAAACACUAACAGGACACUCUGAAGACUGUUACUUGGUGCCCAAAGGUACACCACUUGCAGGUGACAGUGUUUACCAAUCCCCAACAGGAGGAGUUGCGGGCACUGCUGUCUGCUCUGAUGGCCCUAGUGGAACACUCUGUACCCCACCUUCGAAAGUGAGCCAAGACACACCUGGAAUGUACCAAACACCUACCCCUGUGGGAGCAAGCCUUCACAGGACUUCAGCCACGGCUUUGGCCCACCAGCAUCCAUCUCAGUUAUCACUAGUCCAAGCAUCUCCCAGACCUCUGCUCAAGGGAGUUUCACCCAAACCGGCUGUUGCCAAGGGCAAACCAGGCCUGGCCUGUAACCGUGGGUCUCCUUUGCUGAUCCGAGCAGGGCAGGGCAGGGUUCCUGGAUCACCAAACUUUACCCGCAAACCUCGUCCACCAGCACCUCCAGUGAGGGGAGUGACCAGGAAAGAUGCCACGCAAUCAUCAGCUAAUUCUAACAGUGUCCCCAAACCCAAUGCUCAGGUCACUUCUGCAAGCCUGCAGCAAGAAGAGGACAAACAGAGGGGACUUCCUACGAGUAAGGAGGAAAGGAUAAAUAAUGGCCUGGAGAAAAGUAAUAACAUGCUGAACAAAAAAGUAGAAAUUUGGGAUUACUCAGAUGGUGUGGAUGACCAGGUGUAUGAUACCCCUCCCAGAGGCAGGUGGCAAUGUCCAGUCCCAUCUUCCCUUGGUGAUGAUGAUGAUGAUGCUGAUGAUGGCAUCUAUGACACCCCUCGCAGCGGCCCACCACAAGCUGAUUCAGAGACCGAGGUUUAUGAUGUCCCCACCAUCACUCUGAAUUUGUCCACGUCAGAUGUCAAGCCUGACGAAGUUGAUGACGAUGUAUACAGUGUUCCUACACUUCCAGGUUUACCUCUGGGCCCGGGGGAGUCCACCAACAGCCUCUCUGGUGAUGAUGUUGGACAGGUCUAUCGUGUCCCUGGACCUGAGAAACGAGCCUGCAGUGGAGGUCAUAACCGAGACUCUUCUGAGCAUGACUGUGGCAUCUAUGACAUGCCUGCAUUGACUGCGGAAAUCCUCCCUCACUCUUUGUCAUCCUCCUCCACCUCUACUCGCCGUCUCUCUGUUUCUAGUAAUGGUUCAGGUGACGUGCAAUGGAGAGCCACACUUUCCAGCCUUGUGCACUCGGUGCUUAACACAGCCUCCAGCUCGGCCUCCGCUCUGUCGUCACGGGACCUGGCCACCUCGUUGGCUGAAAUCCUGUCGACCUGGAAAGCCAGUCAUUCAGAUGAUCCUCCACCGCCUCUUCAGCAGGCAUGGGCUCGUCUAUCUGACCUCCUUCCGGCGUUAUCCGCUAUUGGCAAUGCUCCUCCAUCAGAAGGGCUGUUGACGCUAGUUCAGCGCUCCCUAGAAGAAAGUGCCCUCCUCUUGCAGGCUCAGGGCCGACCACGUUUGCCUUCCCAAGAUUCCCUGUCCCGCAGGCCAUUGCCUGCGCUCCCAGUGCCUGAUGGGAAGUCCUCAGGAGGUGGGAUGGGCUCACGUAAAGGUAGCUGGAUCCAAGAGAGGCCCCUGCCACCAACCCCUCAGCCUGCCUUUCCCUUGCCUCCCACUCUGUCGACUGUGACACUUACAGUGGGCCCCAUUGAUGGAGAAGAUGACCCUAGCAAUGAGUAUGCUGGGAUCGGCUUGACCCCCAUACCUGCCCCUGUACCUACUGGAGACAGUGUUGGAUAUGUCAAGCUGCAGGGUAAACCUGAGCCACUUCCAGAUGUCCUGGGUGAGAACGGGCACAUACAGACUAUCACCGCAGAGCCAACGUUGACCCCAUCCCCUCCACUCCCUGUGUCUCUCUCCCUGGAGGACUCGGAGCUGCUGUCCUUUUACUCGUCUCAAAGCCUCGCUCACCUCUCCUGCCUGGCAGACGCCAUCGAUGUGCUCUUCAGCAGCGUGCAGGGAAACCAGCCUCCCCGCAUCUUCGUCGCUAGAGGAAAGAGUCUCAUCGUGACGGCCCACAAACUGGUGUUUAUAGGGGACACACUCUCCCGCCUUCUCACCUCGGGCGACCUCCGGGGCAAGAUCACAACCUCAGGGGGACGACUCUGCCAGGCCUUGAAGUCAGUUGUUGUGGCAACAAAGGGCGCUGCACAAAACUACCCUUCAGUAUCUGCUACCCAGGAGAUGGUGGACCGUGUCGCUGAGCUCUCCCAGCAAGCAGCUGGCUUCUCCACUCUGCUCCAGCGCCUGGCAGAAAUAUCCUCAUGAUAUUUCAUAUCAUUUGCGUAAAAACUAUGUUUACACUACACAUUUUCUCUCUUUGAAAUGCCUUAUUUGUUGUUGUUACUCCUUCAUUACCUUUUGUUUGAAUGGGAUUGAAGCGAGCAAAGUUGAAUCCUGGAACACACGUUUAGCCUCGCUGCAGCUGCUACAAAGCUGAGUUUUGACGGUUGGUUCUGUCCUCCAAGUGUGUAUUUGUUUGGAUUUUGUUUCAAUAAUGACCCAGCAUGGAUCAGAUGAAGACCAGACACAUGGAGUCAGCUGUGAGUGUGUCUUGGACUAUGAGUUAGUUUGAGGAGUGUUUGUGACCCUGGGUGUCCGUUAACUGGUGAGUUAUUCAUAGCAAGAGUGACCCAGAUCACUGGCCCCUAGCACCCUGCCUCUGACUCUUCAGUGUUUUUUUUCUGUCUUACCCUACACAUCAUUUGGUCUCCUCUCAGACUAAACCUCACAUUGGCCAAUCUCUA